GGUCGCGGACAUCAUCUUUAGGCUGUGGAUGCCUUGGCCGGGGUCUCCAGACGCUGACCCUCCAGGGUUGGAAACUACUGCCUGCUUGCCACGUCGUGCCGCCAAUUGUGCUGCCCGAAGUAGCAGCCUGAGAGCCCUUGAAAGUUGCAGUUAUCUUGUGAACAGCAUAUUUACGGUCUCUUGGGCUUGGUGGUGGUUGGGGGAGGGCUGUUAAUGCUUUAAUUUGUUCAAUGAAACAUUUAAAAUGCCCCACAAUUUUUAUAACCCUGUUUGCCUCUUUUUGUUUUUAUUUUUAUUGUAUUUUGGAAAAAUUCACUGGGAUCCUUGAGUGAUGAUCCUAGCGUCUCCUGACCCUUAGGUGUUUCACCUGAAAAGCCUGGGUCUUCAAGCUGAGGCAUUUCUGUUCUAGCCUGGAGGCGCCUAGGAGCCCUGGGAGACUUUUUAAGCAGAGAGAUUUGGCAUUUAGAUCUCUGGGUUUUAGAGGAGUGGGAACGCACCUAAAAGUGGGGUUGCCAGUUACAAAGCUGUUGCAGUCCUGAAGAGACCCAGAGUUUAGGUCCAAAAUUUUAUUUAUUCAACAAACACUUUAUAAAGCACUUACUGUGUGCCAGGCACUGUUCUUAGCGUUUUGCAAACCUUAACUCAUUUAAUUCUCCUAACAACCCUAUGAGGUUGGAACAAUUAACCUAAUUUACAGUGAAGAAACUGAGCCCGGGGGAGGUUAUUUUGUCACACAGCUUGUAAGUGGAGGGCUGAGAUUUGACCCUGGCCUGUGCUCUGAACUCUCAGGCUCUGCCAUAUUUCUCAUUACACUGGUAUUUGGGCACUUCAAAGGGAAAGGAAACAUAACUGUCCCAAGCACUGAGCUAGAUUCUGAGCACGUAGGAGUCAGGAGAGGGUGAUACAGAAUAGACUAGGUGAAAUAUGGCUAGAUUUCUGGUAGAAAAGGAUUAAUUCAUUCCAUCCAAAUUCUUCAUUUUAUAGAUAAGAAAAUUGAGGUUCGAAAUGGGGAAGGGGCUUACCAAGUUCCCAUAGGGAAGUUUAGAUGUCCUGACUUCCAGGUAAGAUGCCAGGCUAUUGGACCCUGCUCAGGAAUGAUGGUCCACACAGCUGCACCUCUGUACAGCCAAUAUUCCUUUUUUAAAAACCUUGCCCAACAACUUGGCAGUGUCUAAUGCGAGCUACAAAACAUUUUCUAUUCUUUGAUCAAGCAGUUUCACUCUUGGUAAAGUAGGGGAGACUGUGCAAAGAUGCAGAAAUAGCCAAUUUAAUAGCAAAAACUGGAAAUAAACCCGAGUCCUGACAAUAAGAAAAUCGCCA
rnacentral:lncRNA from 1 species